UUAGUUGAUUCGUGGCUUCUGAGAGAAAGGGAACCCAGUUAGCUGCAUUGCUCGAGUACGAGUAUGACAUAAUCCAGGUGAAGUCUGGGUUUCUUUGUUGCAGUACGUGGAUUUGUUGCAGUCAUCCAGUGAAAGGUGUGAAUAAAUUGAGCUGUUGCAUGCAGUCUUUGGUUCCGAUGUUGUCCUGGAGUGUGGGAGAGUUCCAUGCUUCAAGUCUUAUUGGAUAAGCCAUAUCUGAGUUGACAGUGGAUCAUGCUGUGUUGUGGUUGCCGAAAUGUUGGACAUCUAGUAGAACUGCAAGAAGCCUUCUUGAAAUGGUUAGUGAUGUUGCUUUCCAAUAUGGCAUGUUGUUGCAGCCUACACUGGUGAAAGAAUUUUUGCAUCGAGUUAUACUGUUGCUGUUCCUUGGUGCCGGACUGCUGGUGUUGUGCACAAAAGUUACAUCCAGUUUUAAUUGUUA
rnacentral:lncRNA from 1 species